AGUGAACGCUGGCGGUAGGCCUAACACAUGCAAGUCGAACGGCAGCACAGUAAGAGCUUGCUCUUACGGGUGGCGAGUGGCGGACGGGUGAGGAAUACAUCGGAAUCUACUUUUUCGUGGGGGAUAACGUAGGGAAACUUACGCUAAUACCGCAUACGACCUACGGGUGAAAGCAGGGGAUCUUCGGACCUUGCGCGAUUGAAUGAGCCGAUGUCGGAUUAGCUAGUUGGCGGGGUAAAGGCCCACCAAGGCGACGAUCCGUAGCUGGUCUGAGAGGAUGAUCAGCCACACUGGAACUGAGACACGGUCCAGACUCCUACGGGAGGCAGCAGUGGGGAAUAUUGGACAAUGGGCGCAAGCCUGAACCAGCCAUACCGCGUGGGUGAAGAAGGCCUUCGGGUUGUAAAACACUUUUGUUGGGAAAGAAAAGCAGAAGGUUAAAACCCCGCUGUUCUGACGGUACCCAAAGAAUAAGCAACGGCUAACUUCGUG
rnacentral:rRNA from 1 species